rnacentral:lncRNA from 1 species
UGGCUGCCCCACUCUGAUCUUUUGUCAUGCAGAUGGAUUGUCUACCUGGCCGGUGCCAUGUUGCCUGGUUUUUUACUGUACAUGUGGUAAUGGAGAAAAGGGAGGAUGGAGUCUCCAUGUUGAACAUACCUGGCUUCCAGGCAGCCCUUUUCUAUUGGCACACCUACUGGAAUUCACCUGUGCAAGCUUCCAUCUUGCUCAUCUACAUCUGUAGCUCAAUUUUUCAGGCUGCUCUUUGUUAGAAAAGGAAUUAUCUUGGGCUGCUUUUUGUUAAAGGGGAAACCUUGCCAAGGACGCUCUUACCCUCACUAACUUCCUAAAUAAUUUCUUUCUAG